GAGAAAAUUCUCUCUUUCUCGGCCACACUUCUGUAGUAGGAAAUUCUUCGUCGCGUUACUUCGCUUCUUUCUUCUACCCACAAAUCUUAAAAAAUACAUGUUCUACGAACAUCCUGUUCGCGCGAUCUACAUCGAGCUCGGAAAAAGGAUUUUUCCCCCUAAUUAACGAAAUAAUUUUUCUGAGGUUUUUCUUCGUUUCCUUAUUUCGAGGAUUUUUUCAACUGAAUUUCCGGGGGUGGAACGAGUGCGCGGUCGAAAAUUCAUUGAGCUUCGGUCCGAAUCGAUGACGAUGGAGGCGAGCGGAACGUCAUCGAUGUCGUUUUCGUGGUCGCGCGUCCUCGCGCAGUUGGUAAGAGAGGGAAAGAGAGAGGCGUGAAAAUGGAGAGCGCGAAAUGUUUCUCAUGGCGCCAUUUUACCCUCGACUCGAGGGAGUUUAAAUAUAAAUCGGAGUGCGGUCUCGAGGAGACUCUAGUCGUGGCGUCGCUCCGUCAAAGAGCGCUUCAGCGAGACCAGCUCGAUUUCAUUACUCGCCUUUAUUCGAUUCGGCUCUUUGACUCGCCGCAUUAUUUUUAUUGCGAUUCAAUUGAUUUGCCAAUAAAAAGCGAGUCUAUUCGCGCUCGCGCGCGCGCGCGCCCUCGUGUCGAGCGGAGUCUAAUUGAAGCAGACUCGUAUAUACGAUCAUCGACGAAGAAUCGAGUCAAUCGCGUCGCGGAGAGAGGGCGAGAUUGAAAGAGACUCGGAUCGUUGACCCUGCUCGAUCUUUCCGGUAUCGAAAAAGCGAGGAUCGCCAUGCCCGAUUCGAUUCUCCAAUAAAAUAUUCGGACCGUCGGAACUUUUGUGGGCUCGAUCCGCUCGCUCUCCCGAUUCAACGAUCCUCGUUCACUCGCCGAGGAAACAGAGCCAAAAAACUCGUGAAUCAUCCAUGAAACUGGAGGAAUUCCGCGGGUAGAAAACCCUUUCGAAUAAUGUCCGCACCGAACAGGCAAGAAAUUCGGAUAACCGUUUUCUUCAAUGACGGAGUCGUCGUCAUUCACAUCUGACUUGGCUGGAAUUUUCUCCGCGAUCCGUUCACCUCCGUCGUCGUCGAGGAUCCAACGGCUCCUGCACGAACUGCAGACUCAAGUGCGCAAAUAAAUAUACACAAGUGUUUUCACAAUGACCUGUUUCACGCCGCCACACCGAAAAAACAUGCCCGUCAUCGUCCCAACGAGUACGCGCUACUCUCGAAACUUUCACGCCCCCGUCUUCAAGCGUAUCACCGUCGUCAAUACAGCCUCCGUUCAUUUUCUCCCGAGCCCCCUCAAAAUCGACCUCGCCCAUGCUGUAAAGAUCUAUGAAAUCGAUAAAUAAAUCUCGAAGCUGUCGAACCCUACGAAAA